rnacentral:tRNA from 1 species
GGUGACGCAUUGGUUAAAGCACUUGGCUGCUAACCAAAAGGUCGGUGGUUCAAACCCACCAGUCGCUU